rnacentral:rRNA from 1 species
GAUGAACGCUGGCGGCGUGCCUAAUACAUGCAAGUCGAGCGAACGGAUGAGAAGCUUGCUUCUCUGAUGUUAGCGGCGGACGGGUGAGUAACACGUGGAUAACCUACCUAUAAGACUGGGAUAACUUCGGGAAACCGGAGCUAAUACCGGAUAAUAUUUUGAACCGCAUGGUUCAAAAGUGAAAGACGGUCUUGCUGUCACUUAUAGAUGGAUCCGCGCUGCAUUAGCUAGUUGGUAAGGUAACGGCUUACCAAGGCAACGAUGCAUAGCCGACCUGAGAGGGUGAUCGGCCACACUGGAACUGAGACACGGUCCAGACUCCUACGGGAGGCAGCAGUAGGGAAUCUUCCGCAAUGGGCGAAAGCCUGACGGAGCAACGCCGCGUGAGUGAUGAAGGUCUUCUGAUCGUAAAACUCUGUUAUUAGGGAAGAACAUAUGUGUAAGUAACUGUGCACAUCUUGACGGUACCUAAUCAGAAAGCCACGGCUAACUACGUG